rnacentral:rRNA from 1 species
AUUGAACGCUGGCGGCAUGCCUUACACAUGCAAGUCGAACGGCAGCACGGGUGCUUGCACCUGGUGGCGAGUGGCGAACGGGUGAGUAAUACAUCGGAACAUGUCCUGUAGUGGGGGAUAGCCCGGCGAAAGCCGGAUUAAUACCGCAUACGAUCUACGGAUGAAAGCGGGGGACCUUCGGGCCUCGCGCUAUAGGGUUGGCCGAUGGCUGAUUAGCUAGUUGGUGGGGUAAAGGCCUACCAAGGCGACGAUCAGUAGCUGGUCUGAGAGGACGACCAGCCACACUGGGACUGAGACACGGCCCAGACUCCUACGGGAGGCAGCAGUGGGGAAUUUUGGACAAUGGGCGAAAGCCUGAUCCAGCAAUGCCGCGUGUGUCAAGAAGGCCUUCGGGUUGUAAAGCACUUUUGUCCGGAAAGAAAUCCUUGGCCCUAAUACGGUCGGGGGAUGACGGUACCGGAAGAAUAAGCACCGGCUAACUACGUG